rnacentral:rRNA from 1 species
UGGGGAAUAUUGCGCAAUGGGCGAAAGCCUGAUGCAGCGACGCCGCGUGAGGGAUGAAGGUCUUCGGAUCGUAAACCUCUGUCAGCAGGGAAGAACGGUCACUGUGCUAAUCAGCAGUGAAUUGACGGUACCUGCAAAGGAAGCACCGGCUAACUCCGUGCC